GCAGACACACUCUGUUCUUUGCUGCUCCCUCCAGCCUUGGACUUUUUCUGUCUGCAACAGUAAUAUGCAGAAUGUAAUUCUUGACUGGCUUUGUCGAAGGCUGGUGUCGCUAUGUUCUGCUACACUAUU
rnacentral:snoRNA from 1 species